GGAUCCACCCCUCCCUAGACCUCAUUUAAGGGUUGGCAGUGGAUGCAAAGGUAUCUUUCUGGAGAUCCCUGCCUGGUGGAGGCCUUCUGAAGAUUUCCUGUGUAGGCCUGUCCCCAGGGACUGACAACCCGGUGUAGACAACUCAUAAAUAAAACGAGUGAGACAUGAGCAAGAAAAAGCAUACCAUACUGCUGGGAAUCACUCCAGGAAAAUAAAUGUGCAAGAUGGCACAUCACCCUACACAAAACUGGCAAAGGCUUUCCCAUGUCUCAAAUGACCAAAACACUUCAACGCUUCCUGAACUGCGCUCCCAGUGAAAGACAGGAUAAGGCAGGACAGGAGAGGAUGCAGCAGAGGG